rnacentral:rRNA from 1 species
UACGAAGGGGGCUAGCGUUGCUCGGAAUCACUGGGCGUAAAGCGCACGUAGGCGGCUUUUUAAGUCAGGGGUGAAAUCCUGGAGCUCAACUCCAGAACUGCCUUUGAUACUGAGAGCUUGAGUUCGGGAGAGGUGAGUGGAACUGCGAGUGUAGAGGUGAAAUUCGUAGAUAUUCGCAAGAACACCAGUGGCGAAGGCGGCUCACUGGCCCGGUACUGACGCUGAGG